rnacentral:misc_RNA from 1 species
GCCAUUUAGCCCUAACGUUCCUUUUUCCCCCAAAGGCCAAAACCCUUCUUGUUCCUCCAAACUUCUCACAAAAAGCUUGACUUUUACGGAUCUUCAACAAUGAAGAAGAGACUCAGAGAAUCCAGAAUCAAACACCAAACAACCAUUAUUGACACCACCUUAACACAAGGUACUUCUCUGAUAAAGCAUUUAGCUGCUUGUAACGCUUCCAUUAGGUCAAAAGCAUUCGCACAUCUUCAAACAUGGCUUGUAACACAAACUCAACUCGAUGAUGAUGAUAUGAAGAAGUUGUGGAAGGGACUUUUCUACUGUCUCUGGCAUUCUGAUAAAGCCCCUGCUCAAGCUCUACUUAUCAACCGUAUUUGCUCUAUGGUGAAAACUCUUGAUUUCGG